GAUGAACGCUGGCGGCGUGCCUAAUACAUGCAAGUCGAGCGAACGGACGAGAAGCUUGCUUCUCUGAUGUUAGCGGCGGACGGGUGAGUAACACGUGGAUAACCUACCUAUAAGACUGGGAUAACUUCGGGAAACCGGAGCUAAUACCGGAUAAUAUUUUGAACCGCAUGGUUCAAAAGUGAAAGACGGUCUUGCUGUCACUUAUAGAUGGAUCCGCGCUGCAUUAGCUAGUUGGUAAGGUAACGGCUUACCAAGGCAACGAUGCAUAGCCGACCUGAGAGGGUGAUCGGCCACACUGGAACUGAGACACGGUCCAGACUCCUACGGGAGGCAGCAGUAGGGAAUCUUCCGCAAUGGGCGAAAGCCUGACGGAGCAACGCCGCGUGAGUGAUGAAGGUCUUCGGAUCGUAAAACUCUGUUAUUAGGGAAGAACAUAUGUGUAAGUAACUGUGCACAUCUUGACGGUACCUAAUCAGAAAGCCACGGCUAACUACGUGCCAGCAGCCGCGGUAAUACGUAGGUGGGCAGCGUUAUCCGGAAUUAUUGGGCGUAAAGCGCGCGUAGGCGGUUUUUUAAGUCUGAUGUGAAAGCCCACGGCUCAACCGUGGAGGGUCAUUGGAAACUGGAAAACUUGAGUGCAGAAGAGGAAAGUGGAAUUCCAUGUGUAGCGGUGAAAUGCGCAGAGAUAUGGAGGAACACCAGUGGCGAAGGCGACUUUCUGGUCUGUAACUGACGCUGAUGUGCGAAAGCGUGGGGAUCAAACAGGAUUAGAUACCCUGGUAGUCCACGCCGUAAACGAUGAGUGCUAAGUGUUAGGGGGUUUCCGCCCCUUAGUGCUGCAGCUAACGCAUUAAGCACUCCGCCUGGGGAGUACGACCGCAAGGUUGAAACUCAAAGGAAUUGACGGGGACCCGCACAAGCGGUGGAGCAUGUGGUUUAAUUCGAAGCAACGCGAAGAACCUUACCAAAUCUUGACAUCCUUUGACAACUCUAGAGAUAGAGCUUUCCCCUUCGGGGGACAAAGUGACAGGUGGUGCAUGGUUGUCGUCAGCUCGUGUCGUGAGAUGUUGGGUUAAGUCCCGCAACGAGCGCAACCCUUAAGCUUAGUUGCCAUCAUUAAGUUGGGCACUCUAAGUUGACUGCCGGUGACAAACCGGAGGAAGGUGGGGAUGACGUCAAAUCAUCAUGCCCCUUAUGAUUUGGGCUACACACGUGCUACAAUGGACAAUACAAAGGGCAGCGAAACCGCGAGGUCAAGCAAAUCCCAUAAAGUUGUUCUCAGUUCGGAUUGUAGUCUGCAACUCGACUACAUGAAGCUGGAAUCGCUAGUAAUCGUAGAUCAGCAUGCUGCGGUGAAUACGUUCCCGGGUCU
rnacentral:rRNA from 1 species